UACGGAGGGUGCGAGCGUUAUCCGGAAUUACUGGGUUUAAAGGGUGCGUAGGCGGCCAUGUAAGUCAGGAGUGAAAGUUUGCGGCUCAACCGUAAAAUUGCUUUUGAUACUGCAUGGCUGGAAUCAGGAUGAGGUCAGCGGAAUGUGGCAUGUAGCGGUGAAAUACAUAGAUAUGCCAUAGAACACCAAUUGCGAAGGCAGCUGGCUAGACCUGUAUUGACGCUGAGGCACGAAAGCGUGGGGAUCAAACAGG
rnacentral:rRNA from 1 species